GCGAACUCCGGUCAGCUGACACAUCCCGGCCAAUCUCCAGCAGACUCUCCCUCCUCCUGGACAGCAUCCAUGUUGAAGCUGCCUUCAACAUGGAUGCUGUCCAGGAGGAGGGAGGGUCUGGGAGGGAGGGUCUGCUGGAGAUUGGCCGGGAUGUGUCAGCUGACCG